GGCAUUAUUUACAAUAGCUGUUUUUGUUUAUAUUGUUAUGGGCUUCCUUUGUGGAAUAAGAAAUUUAGUUUAUUUUGCAAAUAUGCUGUUCAAAUACAAUACAAAUGAAAACAAAAGGAUACGCUUAAAUAUUUUUCGUUUCAGUAUAUGACCUCAUCGUUGAUUUCAGGCAUAAACAAUAGCGAGAUACGUAACACAGUCUAAGCUAGACUAAUUUUGUUUUAAGCAAAAUAUUUUAAAUAGUUAUAAAUAUAUAAAAAAUAAAGAGAAAGCAUUUUUUCAAGUAUAUUACCAUUAGCAAAACUCAACCCUUUACAGUGGACAAUAGCAAAAGGAUGAUAUGUUUUUGUGUUGGGUGGUUCAAAAAGUGCUGGUAGUGUUCGUGUACAAUGCUAUAACCCAUUCAAAAAUUUCUAGACAAAGUUUUAUCCAUUUAAUGUUGAACGAAGCAAUAUAUAAUAUGUGGCUUAUAACUGAAUGGACGUAUUCUUACCAUUGGCGAAAAAAAUUCAAACGGCAAGAUGAAUGAAUGACGUGUGAUAUUAUAAGAAAUAAUUAUAAGUAUCACAUUUUUUUGUUUCAAUUCAGCUUUCCUGCUUGUUUGCAAUUGGUGAUUUAAUUAACUAUGAUGAAAUAUGAUUUUGAGCAUGACAUACUCAAGUGCAAAUAAUUAUACCGCCAAUACUUCAUUGAAUAAGUAGACCUUUGAAUAAAAUGUUUUCAAAUUCAUUUUUAAAAUGGUUUAAAAAAAAAAUGUUCUAAAUUUUUAAUAUGUAAUUUAUUGAAGUUUUUUAUAACCAAAUGUAUUCUAUUUUUCAAUGAAAUAAUUGUGAAUUCAUAUAAAUAAAAAUAUUCUAAAAAUAGUUCAAUUUAA